GGCUCAGGAUGAACGCUGGCGGCGUGCCUAACACAUGCAAGUCGAACGAAGCUUGACGGAUGAUUUCUUCGGAAUGAAACCUGAUAUGACUUAGUGGCGGACGGGUGAGUAACACGUGAGCAACCUGCCUUUCAGAGGGGGAUAACGGCUGGAAACGGUCGCUAAUACCGCAUGAUGUGUUCGGAUGGCAUCAUCUGAACAUCAAAGAUUUAUCGCUGAAAGAUGGGCUCGCGUCUGAUUAGAUAGUUGGUGGGGUAACGGCCUACCAAGUCGACGAUCAGUAGCCGGACUGAGAGGUUGACCGGCCACAUUGGGACUGAGAUACGGCCCAGACUCCUACGGGAGGCAGCAGUGGGGAAUAUUGGGCAAUGGGCGCAAGCCUGACCCAGCAACGCCGCGUGAAGGAAGAAGGCUUUCGGGUUGUAAACUUCUUUUAAGAGGGAAGAGCAGAAGACUGUACCUCUAGAAUAAGCCACGGCUAACUACGUG
rnacentral:rRNA from 1 species